rnacentral:rRNA from 1 species
AGCGAACGCUGGCGGCAGGCUUAACACAUGCAAGUCGAGCGGGCAUCCUUGUGGUGUCAGCGGCAGACGGGUGAGUAACGCGUGGGAACGUGCCCUUCGGUUCGGAAUAACUCAGGGAAACUUGAGCUAAUACCGGAUACGUGCGAGAGCAGAAAGGUUUAUCUGCCGAAGGAUCGGCCCGCGUCUGAUUAGCUAGUUGGUGAGGUUAUGGCUCACCAAGGCGACGAUCAGUAGCUGGUCUGAGAGGAUGAUCAGCCACACUGGGACUGAGACACGGCCCAGACUCCUACGGGAAGCAGCAGUGGGGAAUAUUGGACAAUGGGGGCAACCCUGACCCAGCCAUGCCGCGUGAGUGAUGACGGCCUUAGGGUUGUAAAGCUCUUUUCUCCGGGACGAUAAUGACGGUACCGGAGGAAUAAGCCCCGGCUAACUUCGUG